rnacentral:rRNA from 1 species
UGGGGAAUUUUGGACAAUGGGCGAAAGCCUGAUCCAGCAAUGCCGCGUGUGUGAAGAAGGCCUUCGGGUUGUAAAGCACUUUUGUCCGGAAAGAAAUCCUUGGCUCUAAUACAGUCGGGGGAUGACGGUACCGGAAGAAUAAGCACCGGCUAACUACGUGCCAGCAGCCGCGGUAAUACGUAGGGUGCAAGCGUUAAUCGGAAUUACUGGGCGUAAAGCGUGCGCAGGCGGUUUGCUAAGACCGAUGUGAAAUCCCCGGGCUCAACCUGGGAACUGCAUUGGUGACUGGCAGGCUAGAGUAUGGCAGAGGGGGGUAGAAUUCCACGUGUAGCAGUGAAAUGCGUAGAGAUGUGGAGGAAUACCGAUGGCGAAGGCAGCCCCCUGGGCCAAUACUGACGCUCAUGCACGGAAGCGUGGGGAGCAAACAGGAUUAGAUACCCCUGGUAGUCCACGCCCUAAACGAUGUCAACUAGUUGUUGGGGAUUCAUUUCCUUAGUAACGUAGCUAACGCGUGAAGUUGACCGCCUGGGGAGUACGGUCGCAAGAUUAAAACUCAAAUGAAUUGACGGGGUCAUAGCUG